ensembl:snRNA U1 U1 spliceosomal RNA
AUACUUACCUGGCAGGGGAGAUACCAUGAUCAUGAAGGUGGUUUUCCCAGGGUGAGGCUCAUCCAUUGCACUGCGGGUGUGCUGACCCCUGCGAUUUCCCCAAAUGCGGGAAACUCGACUGCAUAAUUUGUGGUAGUGGGGGACUGCGUUCGCGCUCUCCCCUG